rnacentral:misc_RNA from 1 species
AUCGUUUGCGAUUUCAUACAUCGCCGCCUGAUUUGGGGUUUUUCGAUGACGGAAAUCAAGGCCAUUGGAGUCGUCGGCGGCGGUCAAAUGGGCUCCGGAAUUGCCCAACUCGCCGCCACACACGGCCAUGAAGUUUGGCUAAUUGAUUCAGACCCUUCCGCUCUUGCUAAAGCGUCCGACUCCAUUUCUUCCUCAAUCCAACGCCUGGUCUCCAGAAAACUUCUCUCUCG